rnacentral:rRNA from 1 species
AUUGAACGCUGGCGGCAGGCCUAACACAUGCAAGUCGAACGAGUGGCGAACGGGUGAGUAACGUAUGGGAAACUGCCUGAUGGAGGGGGAUAACUACUGGAAACGGUAGCUAAUACCGCAUACCAUCAGAUGUGCCAAGAUGGGAUUAGCUGGUUGGUGGGGUAACGGACCACCAAGGCGACGAUCCCUAGCUGUUCUGAGAGGAUGACCAGCCACACUGGAACUGAUACACGGUCCAGACGCCUACGGGAGGCAGCAGUGGGGAAUUUUGGCCAAUGGGCGCAAGCCUGAUCCAGCCAUGCCGCGUGUUUGAAGAAGGCCUUCGGGUUGUAAAGUACUUUCAGCAGGGAAGCGUUACCCGAAGAAUAAGCACCGGCUAACUCCGUGCCAGCAGCCGCGGUAAUUC